rnacentral:rRNA from 1 species
UACGUAGGGUGCAAGCGUUAAUCGGAAUUACUGGGCGUAAAGCGUGCGCAGGCGGUUUUGUAAGUCUGUCGUGAAAUCCCCGGGCUCAACCUGGGAAUGGCGAUGGAGACUGCAAGGCUAGAAUCUGGCAGAGGGGGGUAGAAUUCCACGUGUAGCAGUGAAAUGCGUAGAGAUGUGGAGGAACACCGAUGGCGAAGGCAGCCCCCUGGGUCAAGAUUGACGCUCAUGCACGAAAGGCGUGGGGAGCAAACAAGGAUUAACGUAAA